UGGUCUUCAGUUCAUGUCGUGGCUGGGUUGUUGCCAGUUACUUCAACUAGUCAGUUUUCUUGUUCUGCUUGCUCCAGUUACAUUAUGUCCUCCCAACCGUUGUCUGAUCAUGAAUACGUUGUCACAUUGUGCCUUUUGUUUCUGAAAGAUAAAACCUUGUAAUUUUAUUAUAUUACGAAGCCAAGCCGCGCACAUGGGUAUUUUUUGGGCUACCCCAGCUUUCAGGAUCCAGACACUUCAAAAUUGUUUUCUCAAGCUUCUUUUGAUGGUAUUUAGAAACUUGCAUAUGCUCAUUUAUUUCAGUUUAGUAAGCAACUUGAGCAAAAUGAGUCCACAAAUUAUCACCAGGCACGAAUGUCUCAGGUUGACAAAAUCGUCUGCCAGAGUGUGUUUUAUUCAAAGUCCUCAUUAUAGCCAUAUAAUAUUCGAGAUGUCCACCCCUACUAUCUCUUGUCUAUUUUAUGCUUGAAAAAAUAUAAAGCAUGUGAUUGUUGUUGUAUUUGUAGAGAAGAGGUAAUUUCUAGGAUUUUGUUUUUCUCAAGAGAGGAGUAAUGAAAUUGUGUCUUGACUCUAACCUGUUAGUUUGAUUUUGAUGGCUGUAGGGUUGUUUAGUUGCAUCAUAAGACAUCUUUGUUGAAUUAUCUGGAUCGCCUUACCUUGACAUGUCCUGUUAAUAAGUGUUUUAAAGAAAUAUUAUAAUUUAGAAAGAGAGGGGGAGGUUAGCAGAGUAUCAGAGAUAGUUAGUUACUGUAAAAAAGAAAGGGGGUCCUAUUCUCCAUCUCUCUUAUUCUGUUGUUAUGCAUGUAUCUUCCUGAUAUACUAAUAUAAAGUAUAAUUCAUGUGAUUCUCUCUGUUAAUGGUGAUGAAUCAGUCUUGCAAUUGAGGUGCAAGGGCCAUUUUGUGUGCUUUUGCCUCGUAGUUUCCUAUUCAAUGUACCUCUCGUAGCUGCUGAUUUUGAUGUGUUUGGGUUCACUAUCUUAGAGCCUGUUCGGACUCUCUCUGCUCUCCAACUCCACGCCGGAGCGGAGCAACAUCUAGUUCUAAUUUGGGGAGUGGCUGAAAAGGUGCUCCACGCGCUCUGCUCCAAACAGGGCCUUAGUUGAUGAUGUGAUUGGAUUCCAUAUGAUUUUAAAAUGAUCUGGAGAUUGCUUAUCUGGCUCAACACCAACACUUGAUCAGAGAUGGACAUCUUCAAUGAUCCAAUGCUUUUGCUUAUCUGACUUUUGUUGGUGCUUUUAUUCUGAAAUCUAAACUACUGCUUUUAUCCGUCGUUAAAUUCAUAUUAUACUUGAUGUAGACUGUUUGUUAUAUGAAGUGCUAGCCUACAUGUACUUGGUCAAGAGCAACAUGUGGGUUUUUCUAGGACUUGGUCACAAGGCACAUUAUGUUAAUUGUAGCCUGCUUGAUGUAUAGACUCAUGCAAGGACAAUAAUUAGCACCUAAAAAUCAUUGGUAGUGGUACUUCCAUGUUAGAGUUGCUUAUGGUAGCUACACCUUUCGCAAAGCCAUUCAUCUGUUGAUUGUUCCAGAGGCGCCAGCUUGUUGGCAAUUCAUGUAUUGUUUGCUUUGACGCGUGUUUUAACCACUUUACAUUGGUCUCUUAAUAAUGGUAUUGUUUUGGCUUCUUGCGGAAACAAGUAAAUCUGCACCUGCAUGGUUCUUUUUAAAAUAUUUCCUAGGAUUCCCUUUUCAAGAUGACAUGCUUAGUGUUGUGGAGGUCCAUGUUAUCAUGUCGAACCAAAACAUGCACGCUUUGAACUUUUUGUAACAGCAACUUGUCUUGAUUUAUGAAUUGACAGAGUGUAAUUUCUGCAUGCAGGGAGUGGCUCUCUGACGUUGCUCCUCGAGGAUGAUGCACUUGAAACCCUCUUUGGUGAGUUCCUGGUCUCCUCCCUCUCUCUCGCUUGUGUCCUGAGAUUGUCCUGCUCGAUAGCCAUGGUUGGCACUAGUGCGAAUCAUCGACCGAAUGAUUGAGGCCUUGGUUAUGUAUGUGGCCAUGCUUCCUUACUAUGCUGGUGGUCCUCCGGCCACCACAAGUGUUUUGUGUUGAUGAUUGGUGUGACGUUUUUUUAGCUGGGGCUAGUUUCAUGUUGUGCACUUGGCCAUCAUCUUCAUAGUUCUUACUGUAGUGUAGCUAUUUUUGGUGUUUUAUCAUGCCAUUGUCCUAAUCUGCUUGUGGAUGAGAUGCUGGCCAUUGAGUUGAUUUGUCAUAUCAUGGUUCGAAUUGCAAAUAGAACUUGCUACUGUGGAAGUUUACGCGGUUUAGAGAUUGGCCUGGUUUAGUUAAUUGCUAUGGAGUAAUUUUGAUAAGAACUAGAGUAAUUUUCUUGUUGUGGGUAUAUAGCUUGUUUACUUUCAGAUGAUGUUACUUUCUGGGUCUAUUUUCCUGAAUUGGCAUGGUAUAAUAACUACAUGUUGAUGGUUAUGCUACUCCUUGGCCAUGCUCUUGUUUGAUAGGCCUGGAAAAAGAGAUAGAUAUUCUCUACUAGAUGUUUUACCAAGUGUUAGUGGUUUGUGCUGCUGAUAAGAAGUGUGGCAUACUUGAGCUAAUCCUGUGUGCAGCUAAUCCCAACAUGGUUUGACUAAGCAGCUUGUUUACUAGAUUUUUUAUUUGCUAAAAAAUUGAGACUCUUGUUGUGCAUCAGAUACCCGAGUUUGGUGCCAUGGAGAUCGACGAUGAAGAUGUCAUUGCCCACAAAAGUGUCAAGGCAUUGAAGAGAGAAGACAUGUCCCCUGAGAGCCGAGAUGUGGAAAGCAUUAGGUAAAGUGGCAAGAGGAGCCGGAUGUGCAGCUUGUGCUUUUCUUUGUUGGCUGGUGGUUGCUGCUGAAGUGCAGAUUGAUGAUGCCUGGUGAUAUUGAAGUCCUAGUAGAUAGAUAUGCCCUAUGAUAAUUGUUUUCUUGUUGGUGGCUUACUUGUCGGCUGGUAGGUAUUGAGUCGAUGAAGUACCUUGUCGAAUUCUCAGCUCUUGUUGAUGUUCUCUUUUCUCGAUGGAGAGAGAGAGUGAUAUAUGAAGUGUAAAUUUCUGCAUAUUUUUUUCCACGAGUCUCUCCGAAAUGAAACCGGGAAUUGUGUGCCAUGCCAAUCUAUCAAUCUCUCUGUCUGUGAGUUGCCGAGAAGUUU
rnacentral:lncRNA from 1 species